AGCGAACGCUGGCGGCAGGCCUAACACAUGCAAGUCGAACGAACCUUUCGGGGUUAGUGGCGGACGGGUGAGUAACACGUGGGAACGUGCCUUUAGGUUCGGAAUAACUCAGGGAAACUUGUGCUAAUACCGAAUGUGCCCUUCGGGGGAAAGAUUAAUCGCCUUUAGAGCGGCCCGCGUCUGAUUAGCUAGUUGGUUGAGGUAAUGGCUCACCAAGGCGACGAUCAGUAGCUGGUCUGAGAGGAUGAUCAGCCACAUUGGGACUGAGACACGGCCCAAACUCCUACGGGAGGCAGCAGUGGGGAAUCUUGCGCGAUGGGCGAAAGCCUGACGCAGCCAUGCCGCGUGAAUGAUGAAGGUCUUAGGAUUGUAAAAUUCUUUCACCGGGGACGAUAAUGACGGUACCCGGAGAAGAAGCCCCGGCUAACUUCGUG
rnacentral:rRNA from 1 species